UGUCAGACGUAAAGUGGGUGUAGCGUGUAGAUAGAAGUGUACAGAAAAGGAAAUCGAAAACGUGGAAGUGUGAGAAGUAGAAUGAGUGUAAAUGAAAGUGUAAAGCAUUAAGCGACGUGUGAGCUGCAGGGGGAAAAGUGUGAUUAGGACUGAACGCUAGCGCACUGACGCAGCUUGGCAUUUAGCUGCGCACUGAGAGGGCCGGCGGGAGGUAAACAAGAUGGCGGCUACCUUGGAGCAGCUGCAGCAUUAGGAGCAGAGGAGAGAGGUAUAGGACUGCGGUGACAGCACAUAGCGGGGGGAAAACGAGCCGGUUCGGGGAAUAGAUUUGAUAUUUGCACUUGUUCGUUUCACGGCCCGAGGUGAGACGUUUGCUUGCGGUUCGUUUUGCGGUUUCUCGGGACGUCUCUGUGCUGCAUUGACUGCUCGACUAGCGGUUAGCUGAUUAGCUUAGCCGUGUGUGGAUGUUAGUAAACCCUUAGCUAGCUAGGGGACCAGACUAGCCGAAACUUACUGAAAUGGGUUUGGGAGUGAGUUUUGGGUUUGGUGGAUAUUUUAACCCGAUUUUGUAGGUUGGUUUCGGGUUAUUGAGCUACCAGUUACCUUGGCUUCACAACAAAUCGGUUUCUCGUCUUCGUUGGAUGAGAUUUGGAGUGCUGUGAGGGGAAAAAUCCAUCGUAGCAAGAUAAUCUGGAUCUUCAUUCUGGAUAUCAGUGUGAAAAUGCAUCACUCCAGGAUGGACCUCAUGCCCUAGUGGAUGUUGUUGUCCAGCAGGAAAAACCUUAGUGAGUCCCCAAGACGGGUUUCUUCACGAUUUCUGAACUAAGUUGCUUUGUACUGGACAUGUUGUCAGAGAUGAAUAGGUGUCCAGUCAUUCCAAAUGUAGGCUAGCGCCGGCCUCUGAUUGGACAGCGUAUACUGAACUCGAAAGGCCAGUGCUCGGUGAAGUCUGACUAUCUGCUUUUUUUUGUUUGUUUUGAGCUUUUUUUUUGUUUUGUUUUUUGCACUGGACCUUUUUCCUCAUACCCAUUCUUGGUUACCCUUGCACUAGUUCUACUCAUGUUUACAUCGUUGUUUUACCUGAGCCUUCAUAAAAGCAGCAGCUUUGUUGCAAUCAAGUGUCAGUUCUUUCAAAUGCUGUUCUAAAAGGUUUCUCAACUUCCCAGCCAAUCAGAAUUGGAGAUACAGACCACAUCUCCUUGUAGCUCUUAGGGCGUGAGCGAGGAAAAGGGAAAGGAAGGUUGCAAGAAAAGAUGAGUGUCGGGGAGCUUCAGAACGCGGGCUUCCUGACCGAGAACGAGCUCAUGUCCAUGGACGCUUUCAUCCACCGCAUCGACUCCACCGAGGUGAUCUACCAGCCGCGGCGCAAGCGCGCCAAGCUCAUUGGGAAGUACCUGAUGGGAGACCUGCUGGGGGAGGGAUCUUACGGCAAGGUGAAGGAGAUGCUGGACUCUGAGACUCUGUGUCGGCGAGCUGUGAAGAUCCUCAAGAAGAAGAAGCUGAGGAGAAUCCCUAAUGGAGAGGCCAAUGUGAAAAAGGAAAUUCAGCUGCUACGAAGACUACAGCAUAAAAAUGUGAUCCAGUUGGUGGAUGUGUUGUACAAUGAAGAGAAGCAGAAAAUGUAUAUGGUAAUGGAGUACUGCGUUUGCGGCAUGCAGGAAAUGUUGGAUAGUGUUCCUCAGAAAAGGUUUCCAGUAUUUCAAGCUCACGGGUACUUUUGCCAACUUUUGGACGGCCUUGAAUAUUUGCACAGCCAAGGAAUCGUUCACAAAGACAUUAAACCAGGGAAUUUGCUGCUGACCACAGACGGCGCUUUAAAGAUCUCUGACUUGGGUGUAGCCGAGGCUCUCCACCCAUUUGCGGAGGACGACACGUGUCGAACAAGUCAAGGCUCGCCUGCUUUUCAGCCGCCCGAGAUCGCCAAUGGCUUGGACACCUUUUCAGGGUUUAAAGUGGACAUCUGGUCUGCGGGGGUCACACUAUACAACAUAACAACAAGCCUGUAUCCGUUUGAGGGGGAUAACAUCUACAAACUUUUCGAGAACAUUGGAAAGGGAGAUUACACUAUUCCAGAGGAGUGUGGGCCGCUGCUUACAGACCUGUUAAAAGGAAUGCUUGAAUACGAUCCUGUAAAGAGAUUCUCAAUACAGCAAAUUAGGCAACACAAUUGGGUGAGGAAGAAACACCCACCAUCGGAAGACCCCGUGCCUAUCCCACCCAGCGCUGAGACCCGGGACACUUCAAGGAGCAUGACAGUGGUGCCCUACUUGGAGGAUCUUCAUGGUUAUGGUGAGGAGGAAGAGGAUGACGAGAUGUUUGACGGUGAGGAUGAGAUCAUCUAUACUCAGGAUUUCACAGUGCCAGGUCAAGUGGAAGAGGAAGAAGAGGAGGUGGAAGAAGAGUGCUCUGCCGAACGGAGCCACGCCGCAAUGAAGCCGGUUUGCGUGAACGGGACGGAACCGGCUGCACUGAAACCCAAAUCGGAUCGGCGCUCCAGCUCUUCAUCCAACCCCUCCCGCAAGGGCGUGUCCACAGCCAGCAAGAUCCGCAAACUCUCUACCUGCAAACAGCAAUGACCACCCCCUCCAUCUCUGCCCCGCCCACCUGCCUCUCUCUCUUUCUGUACAGGUUUGUUAUUUUCCCCCCAUCCUCUGUUUUGGAUUCUCAGCCAUGAAAACAUACCACAGUUGCUGACACACACUUCACCAUGGACUAUGAACCCUAACGGAAAAGAUGGCAGGAAGUGUGGAUUAUAUGACACUUUUCGAGGUCUUUCCCUGGAAACGACUGACUGAAUUUGGGAUGCUGUAUAAGGGAGGAAACUCCCCCCCCCCACCACCACCACCACCCACCGACCCCAAAUAUUUUCCUUUCACUCUGUUUCUCACUCGCUGUCUCUCUAAAGCUUUCUUAAAUUAAUUCUGUUGAACUCGCUCCCGCCUGGUCUCUCCGUGAGGCUUCUUCCAUUCAUUUUGCUGAACUCAUGACACUUUCUCUUUCUCUCUCCUUCGCUGUCCCUCUCUUGCUUUAUCUUAUAUCUUUCUCCAUCUCUUGCUGUGGAACCCAAAGGCGUUCCCCCACCCCCAAUAACCCCCUUUCCUUUUUUUUGUGCCGGGCUCUUGUUGCCCAUCAAAUCUGACCUCAAUGUUUAGUUCUGUAGGUGAUCUUUUAAUUUUGAACUGCAGUUUAAGGUGCACAUGGAGUUGAUGUUUAAAAAAAAUGGCAUAAAGGACAGUUAUUAUUAUAUAGAAGCCAUGAUGAUGAUGCUGAAGAUAAUUAUACCCAUAAGAUUAAAAAACUGCAUGCUGUGAAGAGCUUUGGGGGGGAAAGGGGGGUUAUGAUCUGUACAGGCAAAUGUAUCAACACCUGCUCAGUGCAGGAUGGUUUGUUUUUUUGUUUUGUUUUUUUUUU